rnacentral:rRNA from 1 species
GACGAACGCUGGCGGCGUGCUUAACACAUGCAAGUCGAACGGAAAGGCCCUGCUUUUGUGGGGUGCUCGAGUGGCGAACGGGUGAGUAACACGUGAGUAACCUGCCCUUGACUUUGGGAUAACUUCAGGAAACUGGGGCUAAUACCGGAUAGGAGCUCCUGCUGCAUGGUGGGGGUUGGAAAGUUUCGGCGGUUGGGGAUGGACUCGCGGCUUAUCAGCUUGUUGGUGGGGUAGUGGCUUACCAAGGCUUUGACGGGUAGCCGGCCUGAGAGGGUGACCGGCCACAUUGAGACUGAGAUACGGCCCAGACUCCUAAGGGAGGCAGCAGUGGGGAAUAUUGCACAAUGGGCGGAAGCCUGAUGCAGCAACGCCGCGUGCGGGAUGACGGCCUUCGGGUUGUAAACCGCUUUCGCCUGUGACGAAGCGUGAGUGACGGUAAUGGGUAAAGAAGCACCGGCUAACCACGUG